UUUAUUGGAGAGUUUGAUCCUGGCUCAGGAUGAACGCUGGCGGCGUGCCUAAUACAUGCAAGUCGAGCGAAUGGAUUAAGAGCUUGCUCUUAUGAAGUUAGCGGCGGACGGGUGAGUAACACGUGGGUAACCUGCCCAUAAGACUGGGAUAACUCCGGGAAACCGGGGCUAAUACCGGAUAACAUUUUGAACCGCAUGGUUCGAAAUUGAAAGGCGGCUUCGGCUGUCACUUAUGGAUGGACCCGCGUCGCAUUAGCUAGUUGGUGAGGUAACGGCUC
rnacentral:rRNA from 1 species